rnacentral:rRNA from 1 species
GAUGAACGCUGGCGGCGUGCCUAAUACAUGCAAGUCGAACGCAUUGUGGUUGAAAUGAUAUGAAGAACUUGUUCAGAUUUGAUUUUAAACAUUGCAAUGAGUGGCGAACGGGUGAGUAACACGUGGGAAACCUACCUCUUAGCAGGGGAUAACAUUUGGAAACAAAUGCUAAUACCGUAUAAUAAUUAAAACCGCAUGGUUUUAGUUUAAAAGAUGGUCUUGCUAUCACUAAGAGAUGGUCCCGCGGUGUAUUAGUUAGUUGGUGAGGUAAUGGCUCACCAAGACAAUGAUACAUAGCCGAGUUGAGAGACUGACCGGCCACAAUGGGACUGAGACACGGCCCAUACUCCUACGGGA